ACGCUCGACACCUACGGGAGGGCAGCAGUGAGGAAUAUUGGUCAAUGGGCGCAGGCCUGAACCAGCCAAGUAGCGUGAAGGAUGACUGCCCUAUGGGUUGUAAACUUCUUUUAUAUGGGAAUAAAGUUUUCCACGUGUGGAAUUUUGUAUGUACCAUAUGAAUAAGGAUCGGCUAACUCCGUGCCAGCAGCCGGACGGUAAUCUGAGGCGGGCGUGGACGAAGGC
rnacentral:rRNA from 1 species